rnacentral:rRNA from 1 species
CCUACGGGAGGCAGCAGUGGGGAAUAUUGGGCAAUGGGCGCAAGCCUGACCCAGCAAAGCCGCGUGAAGGAAGAAGGCUCUCGGGUUGUAAACUUCCUUUUAGAGGGAAGAGUAGAAGACGGUACCUCUUGAAUAAGCCAUGGCUAACUACGGGCCAGCAGCCGCGGUAAUACGGAGGUGGCAAGUGUUGUCCGGAUUUACUGGGUGUAAAGGGCGUGUAGCCGGGCCGGGAAGUCAGAUGUGAAAUCACAAGGGUCAACCUUAAAACUGCAUUUGAAACUGUUGGUCUUGAGUAUCGGAGAGGCAGGCGGAAUUCCUAGUGUAGCGGUGAAAUGCGUAGAUAUAACGAAGAACACCAAUGGCGAAGGCGGCCUGCUGGACGGCAACUGACGGUGAGGCGCGAAAGCGUGGGGAGCAAACAGGAUUAGAUACCCCAGUAGUC